rnacentral:snRNA from 1 species
CUAUACAUAUAGAGAAGAUUAGCAUGGCCCUUGUGCAAGGACAACACACAAAUUUGUGAAGCAUUCCAUGUUCAA